CUACGGGGUGCACCAGUAAGGAAUAUUGCGCAAUGGAGGCAACUCUGACGCAGCCAUGCCGCGUGCAGGAAGAAGGCCUUAUGGGUCGUAAACUGCUUUUAUUUAGGAAUAAACCCCCGAACGUGUUCGGGGCUGAAGGUACUAAACGAAUAAGCACCGGCUAACGUGCGUGCCAGCAGCCGCGGUAAUACGGAGUGGUGCAAGCGUUAUCCGGAUUUAUUGGGUUUAAAGGGUGCGCAGGCGGGCUAUUAAGUCAGUGGUGAAAUCCCGGGGCUCAACUCCGGAACUGCCAUUGAUACUGAUAGUCUUGAGUUUGGUUGAAGUGGGCGGAAUGUAGCAUGUAGCGGUGAAAUGCAUAGAUAUGCUACAGAACACCAAUCGCGAAGGCAGCUCACUAAGCCAAAACUGACGCUCAUGCACGAAAGCGUGGGGAUCAAACAGGAUUAGAUACCCGGGUAGUC
rnacentral:rRNA from 1 species